rnacentral:lncRNA from 1 species
ACGCUUUAUGAUCAUAAGACUUAUGCGAUUUGAGCGAUCCCAUUUCUCAUACUCUAAUUUUUCUUCAGAAGAACUAGAGUCCUUAGGAGUAGAGGGUCGAUCAAUUCUUAAUGCAAGGUCUAGAUCCAUGCAGCCAAGAACAAUCAAAAUGUUCUCUUCCCAUUCCUUAAAAUUUGUCCCAUUAAGGACAAGAAUAGAACUCAAAUUUGCAGAUAUGGAAG